CUGUGGAGUGUACAAAAACUUGUGAGUAGUGUGUUGCCUGCAACCACCAAAACAUACACAACGAAGCAGUAA
rnacentral:sRNA from 1 species